GAUGAACGCUGGCGGCGUGCCUAAUACAUGCAAGUCGAGCGAACAGACGAGGAGCUUGCUCCUCUGACGUUAGCGGCGGACGGGUGAGUAACACGUGGAUAACCUACCUAUAAGACUGGGAUAACUUCGGGAAACCGGAGCUAAUACCGGAUAAUAUAUUGAACCGCAUGGUUCAAUAGUGAAAGACGGUUUUGCUGUCACUUAUAGAUGGAUCCGCGCCGCAUUAGCUAGUUGGUAAGGUAACGGCUUACCAAGGCAACGAUGCGUAGCCGACCUGAGAGGGGGACCGGCCACACUGGAACUGAGACACGGUCCAGACUCCUACGGGAGGCAGCAGUAGGGAAUCUUCCGCAAUGGGCGAAAGCCUGACGGAGCAACGCCGCGUGAGUGAUGAAGGUCUUCGGAUCGUAAAACUCUGUUAUUAGGGAAGAACAAAUGUGUAAGUAACUAUGCACGUCUUGACGGUACCUAAUCAGAAAGCCACGGCUAACUACGUG
rnacentral:rRNA from 1 species